GACGAACGCUGGCGGCGUGCCUAAUACAUGCAAGUCGAACGCAGUGGGGACGGGUGAGUAACACGUGGGUAACCUCCCAUCAGAGGGGAUAACACUUGGAAACAGGCGCUAAACUGACACUGAUGGAUGAACACGCGGUGCAUUAGCUAGUUGGUGAGGUAACGGCUAACCAAGGCCACGAUGCAUAGCGGGUCUGAGAGGGGGAUCGGCCACACUGGGACUGAGACACGGCCCAGACUCCGACGGGAGGCAGCAGUGGGGAAUCUUCGACAAUGGACGAAAGGCUGACGCAGCAACGCCGCGUGGGUGAAGAAGGUUUUCGGAUCGUAAAACUCUGUUGUUAGAGAGGCGGUAUCUAACGAGAAAGCCACGGCUAACUACGUGCCAGCAGCCGCGGUAAUUC
rnacentral:rRNA from 1 species